CAAUAGCGUAUAUUAAAGUUGCUGCAGUUAAAAAGCUCGUAGUUGGAUUUCUGGUGGGAGCGAUCGGUCUGGCGCUUAGCGCGAGUACUUGCAUCGUCUCCGGCCAUCCUUGGGGAGAGUCUGUCUGGCAUUAGGUUGUCGGGCAGAGGAUCCUCAUCGUUUACUGUGAAAAAAUUAGAGUGUUCAAAGCAGGCUUAUGCCGUUGAAUAUAUUAGCAUGGAAUAAUAAGAUAGGACUUUGGUACUAUUUUGUUGGUUUGCGCACCAAAGUAAUGAUUAAUAGGGACAGUUGGGGGUAUUCGUAUUCCGUUGUCAGAGGUGAAAUUCUUGGAUUUACGGAAGACGAACUACUGCGAAAGCAUUUACCAAGGAUGUUUUCAUUAA
rnacentral:rRNA from 1 species